CAACAUCAGAAUUCUAGGGCAAAAUUCUACAACUAAGUAUGUUCCUUUGGCAACACGGAAGAACAUGGACACUGAGACAAAUACUUGGUUGGACACAGAGUAAACUAAGAAUGAGAAGCUCAAACUGAGAACUUGAAAUGCUUACCUUUCGACAAUGACUGUAAAUGUAGCCUUCCACAUCUACACUAACCGCACUGGUACAUUCAUCCAAAAUGGCAAACUGGGGUUUAUGAUAAAAUAAUCUUGCCAUCUGAAGCAUAAAAAGAAAUAUUCUGUGUAAGCACAUGCAGAAAUUAAUAAGGUAAUACUGCAAUGAAGCAGAAGCAGUGAGCAAAUUUAUGCAUAAGUGAGAAAUGUUUCCAUGGACCAGAUUCUUGGAAGUGUGUGUGUGUGUGUGUGUGUGUGUGUAAUAAAUAUUUACAAGUACCACACCACUUGUUCUGCAAUG